rnacentral:tRNA from 1 species
UCUAGAAUAGCUUAAAUUUUAAAGCCCUGACUUUGUAACUCAGAGAUAAGUCUAACCUUUUCUAGAU